GGGAAGGCCACGCUCAUGUGCCUGGCCAACAAGGGCUUCCCCUCAGACUGGAGUCUGGCCUGGAAGGUGGACGGCAGCAGCAGCAGCAGCAGCAGCAGCUGGGAGGAGAGCAGGAGCCCCGGGGUGCUGGAGAAGGACGGCCACUACAGCUGGAGCAGCACCCUGAGGCUCCCUGCAGACCAGUGGGGGAAGGUGGGCUCUGUGACCUGUGAGGCCACCCAGGGCUCCCAGACUCCGCUCUCAGAGACACUGAGGAGAGACCAGUGUUCCCAGUCCUGACCUGACUCACUGGGACUCUGCUACUGGUUUGACUCUGCUACUGCUCUCACUCUGCACUCUGGAACUAUCUCUGUCUUUCAUUUCACAUCUUUCAAUAGCAAUAUUUACCAGCUUGUUGCAAUGUUUCAAUAUUAUUUCACUGUUUCCACAUAAUAAAGACGUGUUCAUCA